GAGUGAAUACCCAUAGAGGUCGAACACUUGUACGGCUAUAAAUUUUUUUUUUCUCUUUCAGAUCUAGAUUCGAAGAAAAGAAUUAUGAAACAGAUAUGUGAAUUGAUCACAAUUUGAAUUUUAGCAUAUGUCAAUUUCAGCACAUAAACUAGAUCUUUGUGAUUUUAUAUUUUCAUGCAUGCAUGAUUCAGAUUAAAAAUAUUUUAAUCUUGUGUUCUGCUGUGGUAUUUAGAAAAUAAAGUUUUGAAAUAU
rnacentral:lncRNA from 1 species